UGGGGAAUUUUGGACAAUGGGGGAAACCCUGAUCCAGCCAUCCCGCGUGUGCGAUGAAGGCCUUCGGGUUGUAAAGCACUUUUGGCAGGAAAGAAACGUCAUGGGUUAAUACCCCGUGAAACUGACGGUACCUGCAGAAUAAGCACCGGCUAACUACGUGCCAGCAGCCGCGGUAAUACGUAGGGUGCAAGCGUUAAUCGGAAUUACUGGGCGUAAAGCGUGCGCAGGCGGUUCGGAAAGAAAGAUGUGAAAUCCCAGAGCUCAACUUUGGAACUGCAUUUUUAACUACCGGGAUAGAGUGUGUCAGAGGGGGGUGGAAUUCCGCGUGUAGCAGUGAAAUGCGUAGAUAUGCGGAGGAACACCGAUGGCGAAGGCAGCCUCCUGGGAUAACACUGACGCUCAUGCAAGAAAGCGUGGGGAGCAAACAGG
rnacentral:rRNA from 1 species